UGACUAGCCUAGGGAAUAAAUGCCAAAUUUUACAAACAUUUCUUCCACUUUUGUGCUUUUCUAAAAACAAACAAAAAAUCCACAACUAAAUAAACAAAAUUAAAACUCCACCUGCUUUGAUUAUUUUAUGUACUUCACACACCUCUCUCCAAAGCAAAAGGGAAAGCUAACUGAAAUCCGAAUCAUUAAAUCUGGGUUUUUCAUUAACAUUUCCCCCAACUAUUCUAGAAGCAAAGGAUACGUAAUAGAUAAACAAGAAGAAAAAUGCAUUUAAAACCUUAAGGGGACCCAGCACUCCAUCCAAGCUUAUCUAUGCAGCCUGCUCACAGGCUCCUGUAUACAGGCGCACUGUCAUGAAAUUAGCACUUCUACCCAG
ensembl:lncRNA ATP1B3-AS1 ATP1B3 antisense RNA 1